UGAAGGGUAACUAGAAAUCAGGUUAGUUUUAAUUAGGGUUGGAGCUGAACUCUGCUGCAGCUGUCCUGAACCCUUCUUACCCAGCUAUUCAUUGUAGAUAACCAUUUUAUCAUUUUAUCAUUGUCCAUUUGUGUCAUUUCAGAUUACAACACCGUUUUAGCGAUCAAAUGUAACUUACUCUGUGUUCUUCCUUGGUAGUCACCUGAGGGUCUCAAGACAGUAAAGGUGGAUGAGCACUCCAGCUGUCGCUAUGAUGGUCCGCCUGAGAGAUGCCCACUGGAGCUGAGAAAGAUGGAGUGGGGUGAGCAACACACCAGCU